AGCGAACGCUGGCGGCAGGCCUAACACAUGCAAGUCGAACGAACUCUUCGGAGUUAGUGGCGGACGGGUGAGUAACACGUGGGAACGUGCCUUUAGGUUCGGAAUAACUCAGGGAAACUUGUGCUAAUACCGAAUGUGCCCUUCGGGGGAAAGAUUUAUCGCCUUUAGAGCGGCCCGCGUCUGAUUAGCUAGUUGGUGAGGUAAAGGCUCACCAAGGCGACGAUCAGUAGCUGGUCUGAGAGGAUGAUCAGCCACAUUGGGACUGAGACACGGCCCAAACUCCACGGGAGGCAGCAGUGGGGAAUCUUGCGCAAUGGGCGAAAGCCUGACGCAGCCAUGCCGCGUGAAUGAUGAAGGUCUUAGGAUUGUAAAAUUCUUUCACCGGGGACGAUAAUGACGGUACCCGGAGAAGAAGCCCCGGCUAACUUCGUG
rnacentral:rRNA from 1 species